rnacentral:rRNA from 1 species
GCCAGACUCCUACGGGAGGCAGCAGUGGGGGAUAUUGCACAAUGGGGGAAACCCUGAUGCAGCAACGCCGCGUGUGGGAAGAAGGUUUUCGGAUUGUAAACCACUGUUCUUGGUGAAGAUAAUGACGGUAACCAAGGAGAAAGCUCCGGCUAACUCCGUGCCAGCAGCCGCGGUAAUACGGAGGAUGCGAGCGUUAUCCGGAUUUAUUGGGUUUAAAGGGUGCGCAGGCGGAGGUGCAAGUCAGCGGUCAAAUUGCGGGGCUCAACCCCGUACUGCCGUUGAAACUGCAUCCCUUGAGUGCGCGAGAAGUAUGCGGAAUGCGUGGUGUAGCGGUGAAAUGCAUAGAUAUCACGCAGAACUCCGAUUGCGAAGGCAGCAUACCGGCGCGCAACUGACGCUCAUGCACGAAAGCGUGGGUAUCGAACAGGAUUAGAUACCCCAGUA